UCAAGGAUUCUCAGCAUUGGGUCACCAGAUGUUUUUGGACUUCAACUCCCAUAAUCCCCAACCAAAGGCCACAGGGGCUGGCUGGAGAUUAUGGGAGUUGAAGUCCAAUAACAUCUGAGGACCCAACAUUGAGAAUCCCUGGUGUAUAUUCUGACCCUCUCGCCUAAGUCUGCCUAAUGUUUAUACUCUUAGGAUACAUCUUUCUGGUGGGUUACGUGACAUUCUGUACCAAACAUUCUGAGUAACAAGUUUCUGAUGGGUAUCUGGUUAUCUGGUCUUCUGGUUAUCUCUCUAGUAGCUGGUAAACGAAUUAUAUAAUAUCGCUAUGUCCAUAUUUGGUUGGCCAUCCCUUGGGUCUUCUGGUUGUCUUCAUUACUGCAAGAUGUUCAUGGGGAUGGAGUGUAUAAAAGUUCUCAACAAGGUUUACACAGGAAAAGAAUAAUAAGAAAAUGAUUCCCUGUCCCUGCAAAGGGAAAGUCUAAAAAGAAACACAAGCUAGACAUCACCAGAAGCCACUGGAGGAUGCUGAUCUGGGGCUGAACAGGGACAGUAUGCUAAAUAUGAAGAGAAGAGAACCACUACUGUGAAAGAUGCUAGCCAAUUUCCAGGUUUUCCACACAAUUCUCUGAUGUCAUAUCACUUCCUCUUGGAUUUCUGUUACGUUUCUCUGCGACGCUGGUCUGGUGUUGUGUGAUACUUUUCUUUCGGGUUAAAAGAGUUGGUGCUACUGUCGCCCACCUCACAACUCUUAAACAGUAGCAGGCUGCAGGCAAGAGCAGCAAGGAACAACAGAGGGAAGCAGUAGGCAUACAAAAUGGAGGCAGAGACAACAUGGUGAAAAUGAAAUUUAAGGUUGCUCCAUUUUACUCAGUGGCUGGAAAGCAUCUCUCAUUUAUAUAAGUCUCUUCCAGAUAGAAUGGCAACUCUGUUCUUUGGUUGUCCCUAAUCCUCUCUCUAAUUGCCAAAGCUGACAUCUCUUCAAUCUACUAGUCAGGGUUGUGGUGGUAGGGGGGCUGUGUUUAGCUUUCUUCUCUUUCACUUUACAGUAGAAAGGAUCUUCUGUUUUAUUUAUACAAGGAAUGGAUGUAGACAAUAAAAGCUUGA